CCACCAGCUCCCCACUUUUAUAGGGUAGCCAGAAAUCAGUCUGAUGAGGAAAGAAACCUUUCUGUAUAACCCACCCAGAAGAACAUGGCCAGAUGACUGACCUGCCAGAUUCUCUUCCUUCUUGCCUGCAUAAGCAGGGCCACCAGGUGAAACAGUAGAGAGAAACUCCAUCUUCUUCUGCUCACUUGCUCUGUGAGGAUGGAAAAGGAAGGCCCUUCUCAGGCAGAGGGGAAGCGCAUCGCCUGCUGAAGAGACCACUUUCCACAGAAAUCUGCACAGACCGCAGUCCUGUGAUUGGGCCACCUGGAGAGGCCAGUGAAACGCUUUAGCAGGCAAAACUUCCCUGACCAAGGAUCGAACCCAUGCCUCCUGAAGUGGAAGUGUGGAGUCUUAACCACUGGACCACCAGGGAAGUCCCCCCAAACCUUAAUCUUAAAAUACUUAAGGAAAAAAAAUACUUAAGGAAACAAAAUAAAGUCUGAUUUUUUAAGUGUUUUGGUUGACAUGGGUUGACAUGGCAAGGGGAGACCGGGCUCAGUACUAAGGCAAAGCCAUUGCAGCGUGAAUCCUGGAGCCCAGAGACCCAGGGGGCUGGGCCUGCAAGGUGCCUGGGCUCCGAAGCCUGUGCCAGCAUGCUGGAGCCCGCAGUGUUUUUUAAUCUGCUGUCUGGCUGGGUUUACUGAAGACAAGCUGUUCCAAAAACAAUAAGCAGCAGCCAUUGUGGGGGUCCCGCUCUUGUCUGACUCAACUCCCAUUCGGGCAUUAGCUUACUUUGGUGGAGAAAAAGGGAAAAUGCAGGACUGGCAUUCACUGUGACUUGGCUUUGUUCCUCAGACCCUGUAGGGAGAGGCGCCAGGCCAGGAGCCAAGUCCUACGAGGACACCGGUCUGUGUGAUCGAGGCGGGGGCGACGGCCGCUCUGAAAGGACAGCUUUGAGAAGAGGCCACUCUUUAAGCAGGGUCCAUGCUGUCAUUUUGUAAAACUGACCCCUGAUUUCUAGGUGCAGCCCAGAUGCUUCUCAAAAGAAGGCCUGUCUUUGAAACUGGACCAGAAGGGGGUAAAGUGGAAUCUGUUGUCUUUCCCAAGCUUUGAUUAGAGAUUUUUUUUUAACUUUUUAUUAUAUAUCAUAUGUCAGAAUGUGGCUGGUUAACAAUGUUGUGAUAAUUUCAGGGGCACAGAAAAGGGACUCAGCCAUACAUAUACAUGAACUGUAGUGCUGGCAAAGACUCUUGAGAGUCCUUUGAACUGCAUGGAGAUCAAACCAGUCCAUCCUAAAGGAAAUCAGUCCUGAAGGUUCAUUGGAAGGACUGAUGCUAAAGCUGAAACUCCAAUACUUUGGCCACCUGAUGCAAAGAACUGACUCAUUGGAAAAGACCCUGAUGCUGGGAAAGAUUGAAGGCAAGAGGAGAAGGGGACAACAGAGGAUGAGAUGGUUUGAUGGUGUCACCAACUCGAUGGACAUGAGUUUGAGCAAGCUCUGGGAAUUGGUGAAGGACAAGGAAGCCUGGUGUGCUGCAGUCCAUGGAGUCACAAAGAGUCAGACACAACUGAGUGACUGAACUGAACUGAUUCUCCCCCAAACUCCCCUCCCAUCCAGGCUGCCACAUAACAUUGAGCAGAGUUCCUUGUGCUAUACAGUAGGUCCCCAUUGGUUAUCCAUUUAAAAUAUAGCUGUGUGUACAUGUCGAUCCCAAACUGCCUAACUAUCCCUUCCCCCCUGGUUGAUUAGAGUUUUGUUCUGUUUAAGAAACAUCCUUUGGAAAAUAAUC